rnacentral:rRNA from 1 species
GAUGAACGCUGGCGGUAUGCUUAACACAUGCAAGUCGAACGGACUCUUCGGAGUUAGUGGCGGACGGGUGAGUAACGCGUGAGAAUCUGGCUUUGGGUUCGGGACAACCACUGGAAACGGUGGCUAAUACCGGAUGUGCCGAGAGGGAAAAGAGAAAUUGCCUGAAGAUGAGCUCGCGUCUGAUUAGCGAGUUGGUGAGGUAAAGGCUCACCAAGGCAGCGAUCAGUAGCUGGUCUGAGAGGAUGACCAGCCACACUGGGACUGAGACACGGCCCAGACUCCUACGGGAGGCAGCAGUGGGAAAUUGUCCGCAAUGGGCGAGAGCCUGACGGAGCAAUACCGCGUGAGGGAAGAAGGCUCUUGGGUUGUAAACCUCUUUUCUUAGGGAAGAACAAAAUGACGGUACCUAAGGAAUCAGCAUCGGCUAACUCCGUG